GACGAACGCUGGCGGCGUGCUUAACACAUGCAAGUCGAACGCAGUGGCGAACGGGUGCGUAAUACGUGGGUAACCUGACCUCCUUUUUGGGAUAAGCCUUGGAAACGGGGUCUAAUAUCGAACCAAGGGGGAUGGUGUCGCGGCUUAUCCGCUUGUUGGUGGGGUGAGGGCCUCCCAAGGCGGUGACGGGGAGCCGGCCUGAUAGGGGGGCCGGCGACAGUGGGACGGCGAUGCUGCCCAGGCUCCUACGGGAGGCAGCAGUGGGGGAAAUUGCACAAAGGUCGAAAGCCUGAUGCAGCGACGCCGCGGGGGGGAUUAAGGCUUUCGGGUUGUAAGGCUCUUGCGCUAUCGAAAGGGUAUGUGGAGAAGAAGCGCCGGCUAACUACGUGCCAGCAGCCGCGGUAAUUC
rnacentral:rRNA from 1 species